CGGACGGGUGAGUAAUGUCUGGGAAACUGCCUGAUGGAGGGGGAUAACUACUGGAAACGGUAGCUAAUACCGCAUAACGUCGCAAGACCAAAGAGGGGGACCUUCGGGCCUCUUGCCAUCGGAUGUGCCCAGAUGGGAUUAGCUAGUAGGUGGGGUAAAGGCUCACCUAGGCGACGAUCCCUAGCUGGUCUGAGAGGAUGACCAGCCGCACUGGAACUGAGACACGGUCCAG
rnacentral:rRNA from 1 species